CCUCCUCCUCCUCCUCCUCCUCCUCCUCCUCCUCACCUGUCCUCGCCCACAAAUUAGCAACUGCAGGGAGAUACACUUCCCCCCGACACUCCCUGACUGACGCCUUGCUCCUCCCGGCCUCGUCUCUGCCGCCUCGCCUCGUCUUGCUGUUCGCUGUUCGCCGUGCCUCGCUGCAGUGACGUGGCUCUUCCUGCGUGCUGUUGAGAGAUGGUAGUCGUGUUCUGGUGAGUUUUUGCCGCUGACGACGCGGGAUCCUUGUCAAACUAUCACUGGAAUCACGAAAACACCAUUGAAAACCUUAACAACUUUCACAAAUUUUUGAAGGCAAUGUUCAUUCAUCACGACUGUUUUGAAAGGCCAUAUGAUUAUGCCUCAUUUCCUUGAAUGUUUUCGCUUCAGAUGACGCGGAAUUCAUGUCAAACCAUCACGGGAAUCAUGAAAACUCCUUUGAAAACCUCCGUAUCUUUCUGUAGAGGCUCUGAGAAACGGUCGAGAUAGGAAGGCCGAAGUUUUGAGAAUUACCACCUGCUUCCAAAGGUGUGGAUUGCAGGUAAUUACAGGUCACGAUGUGCUAAAGUGGCGUGGACAGGUGGAGAGGAGAGAUAGGAGGUGAUAAGAGGGAAGGAGAGAACAAUAAAGAAGAAAAAAGAAGGAAGGAAAAAAAACAGAUUGAAUUAUUAAAUACCAAUUAAAAAAGGUGUUUAUAUAAAAGAUAGGAAAUAAAGAAAAGAGGAGAGAUAAAGGGAGAUAAGAAGGAAGGAAAGAACAAAAAAGAAGAAAAAGAAGGAAAACGUUGAAUUAUUAAAUAUCAAUCAAAAGUAGGUGUUUGUAUAGAAAAUAGCAAAUAAAGAUGAGAAGAGGGGAUAUAAGAGAUGAGAGGGAAGGAGCGAACAAUAAAGAAGAAAAAAAAGAAGGAAAAAACAGAUUGAAUAAUGAAAUACCAAUAAAAAUUAGUGUUUAUAUAAAAAAAAGUAAUAGCAAAUAAAGACGAGGAGUGGAAAGAGGAGAUAAGAGAGGACAACAAUAAAGAAGAAAAAAGAAAAAAAAGAAUGAUCAAAUAUCAACAAAAAAGGUGUUUAUAUAUGGAAACAGGAAAUAAGGAUGCAUUGAUAUAAGACGAUGUAUGGGAGAGAUAAAGGAGGAAAGAAAAAAAUGAUAAAAAAAAGAAGAAAAACAGUUGAAAUAAUUAAAUACCAAUAAAAAAAAAAAGGUAGAUGUUUAUAUAGAAAAUAGCAAAUAAAGAUAUGAGAAGAGAGAUAAGACGAGAUAAGAGCUAAGGAGAAAAUAAAGAAGAAGAAAAAAAUAGUUGAAGUGAGUAAAUGCCGUUAAAAAAAAAAGUAGGUGUUUAUAUAAAAAUACCAAAUGAAGAUAUAUGAACAUUACUUAAAAGACGGUGCGGACAAGACAAUGUAUGGGACCGAUAAAGAGAGAGAGAGAGAGAGAGAGAGAGGGAAGGAGAAAACAAUAAAAAGAAAAAUAGACAAAACAAAAACCAGUUAUUUACAUAGAAGCCAGCAAAUGGGAACAUACGAACAUCACUAAAACGCUUUGAACAAGAUGGUGUAUGGCAGAGAGA